GGUUAAGCGACUAGGCGUACACGGUGGAUGCCCUGGCAGUCAGAGGCGAUGAAGGGCGUGCUAAUCUGCGAUAAGCGCCGGUAAGGUGAUAUGAACCGUUAUAACCGGCGAUACCCGAAUGGGGAAACCCAGUGUGAUUCGUCACACUAUCAUUAACUGAAUCCAUAGGUUAAUGAGGCGAACCGGGGGAACUGAAACAUCUAAGUACCCCGAGCAAAAGAAAUCAACCGAGAUUCCCCCAGUAGCGGCGAGCGAACGGGGAGGAGCCCAGAGCCUGAAUCAGCAUGUGUGUUAGUGGAAGCGUCUGGAAAGGCGCGCGAUACAGGGUGACAGCCCCGUACACAAAAGCGCAUGUGCUGUGAGCUCGAUGAGUAGGGCGGGACACGUGGUAUCCUGUCUGAAUAUGGGGGGACCAUCCUCCAAGGCUAAAUACUCCUGACUGACCGAUAGUGAACCAGUACCGUGAGGGAAAGGCGAAAAGAACCCCGGCGAGGGGAGUGAAAAAGAACCUGAAACCGUGUACGUACAAGCAGUGGGAGCACCCUUCGGGGUGUGACUGCGUACCUUUUGUAUAAUGGGUCAGCGACUUAUAUUCUGUAGCAAGGUUAACCGUAUAGGGGAGCCGGAGGGAAACCGAGUCUUAACCGGGCGUUAAGUUGCAGGGUAUAGACCCGAAACCCGGUGAUCUAGCCAUGGGCAGGUUGAAGGGUGGGUAACACUAACUGGAGGACCGAACCGACUAAUGUUGAAAAAUUAGCGGAUGACCUGUGGCUGGGGGUGAAAGGCCAAUCAAACCGGGAGAUAGCUGGUUCUCCCCGAAAGCUAUUUAGGUAGCGCCUCGUGAAUUCAUCUCCGGGGGUAGAGCACUGUUUCGGCUAGGGGGCCAUCCCGGCUUACCAACCCGAUGCAAACUGCGAAUACCGGAGAAUGUUAUCACGGGAGACACACGGCGGGUGCUAACGUCCGUCGUGAAGAGGGAAACAACCCAGACCGCCAGCUAAGGUCCCAAAGUCAUGGUUAAGUGGGAAACGAUGUGGGAAGGCCCAGACAGCCAGGAUGUUGGCUUAGAAGCAGCCAUCAUUUAAAGAAAGCGUAAUAGCUCACUGGUCGAGUCGGCCUGCGCGGAAGAUGUAACGGGGCUAAACCAUGCACCGAAGCUGCGGCAGCGAACGUAUCACCCAAGACAACUUUACGGAGUUGACGAUUGACGGAGCGAAGCGACGUCAAAGCGUUCAUUAAAGUCGAGUUGGCUUAGGGAUACGUUCGUUGGGUAGGGGAGCGUUCUGUAAGCCUGUGAAGGUGUGUCGUGAGGCAUGCUGGAGGUAUCAGAAGUUCGAUUGCUGACAUAAGUAAAGUUAAACGGGGAGAAAAGGCCGCUCGCCGGAAAGCCA
rnacentral:rRNA from 1 species